GCCUGUGUGGUGUAGUGCUUUGAGUGUUAGAUUAUGGCUCUGGAGACUAGGGUUCAAAUCCUCGCUCAGCCA